rnacentral:rRNA from 1 species
AACGAACGCUGGCGGCAGGCUUAACACAUGCAAGUCGAGCGCCCCGCAAGGGGAGCGGCAGACGGGUGAGUAACGCGUGGGAAUCUACCUUUUGCUACGGGAUAGCUCCGGGAAACUGGAAUUAAUACCGUAUGUGCCCUUUGGGGGCUAGAUUUAUCGGCAAAGGAUGAGCCCGCGUUGGAUUGGCUAGUUGGUGGGGUAAAGGCCUACCAAGGCGACGAUCCAUAGCUGGUCUGAGAGGAUGACCAGCCACACUGGGACUGAGACACGGCCCAGACUCCUACGGGAGGCAGCAGUGGGGAAUAUUGGACAAUGGGCGCAAGCCUGAUCCAGCCAUGCCGCGUGAGUGAUGAAGGCCCUAGGGUUGUAAAGCUCUUUCACCGGUGACGAUAAUGACGGUAACCGGAGAAGAAGCCCCGGCUAACUUCGUGCCAGCCGCCGCAGUAA